rnacentral:rRNA from 1 species
CGUAGGUGGCGAGCGUUGUCCGGAAUUACUGGGUGUAAAGGGCGUGUAGGCGGGGGAUAUAAGUCAGGUGUGAAUUCCGUGGCUCAACCACGGACGUGCAUCUGAAACUAUAUCUCUUGAGUGCUGGAGAGGAAAGCGGAAUUCCUAGUGUAGCGGUGAAAUGCGUAGAUAUUAGGAGGAACACCAGUGGCGAAGGCGGCUUUCUGGACAGUAACUGACGCUGAGGCGCGAAAGCGUGGGGAGCAAACAGGGAUUAGAUACCCUGGUAGUCCACGCUGUAAACGAUCGGAUACUAGGUGUAGGAGGUAUCGUACCCCUUCUGUGCCGUCAGUUAACACAAUAAGUAUCCCAACCUGGGGAGUACGGCCGCAAGGUUG